AGAAAGAGCUCUUCAGUAUGGGAUAUGCGGAGAGCGCGAAAAUCGUGUACUUGAGGAAUGUUUAAGGAAUUUGCAAAGAAUUUCUGAUUUACUUUCUGCCGACACACACAAUGCCCUGAAAAACUGCUUAGAGGAGCUGAAAGUGCUACUAUCGACCCAUGUCCAAGCUUUAAAUGGGGAAUAUUCCGCAGCUCUGGCCAGUUCAGGUAAUAACCAGAUGUGGUUUUUAUACUGUGGUAAAGCUGUCUGCCUCUUCGGAAAUGAUAAUAAAGCCAGUCAGCUCUCGAUUUUGACAUGCUAGACGGCACCAGGCAUUACAGCGCCCUCCUUUAGCUCCUCUGAAAAUAAAAGCUACCUCCGGUUUUGUAUGAUUCACGAUUUAAUUUGCUUUCCAGCGUCUAUAAAAGUUUAAAGCUUAGUGUUCAUGCAACAGGAAAUGAUGUAUAUCAAAAUAAGUUUAUACAUUGUGUGAAAUGCAUUGUGUCACCCUUAGAAGACAAAGGGAUACCUAGAGGAUAGAUAGACAGACAUAUGGAUAGAGGAAAACAGAUGUAUAAAGUAAACAUUAUGCUGAGGCAUUUGAAUAUGAAUCUAUUUUAGGUGGUCGAGGGAGACCGGCUAUUCAUAUUACAAGAGAGCAGAUGGACUUUCUUCUGGCCCAAGGACACACGGUCAAGAGGAUGGCAAACAUCUCUGGAUGCUCAGCAUCAUUUCUUUAGAAGAAGUCCAAAGCACUUGGUGCACCAAUAAGGGGAAGGCAGUGACUGAUGAAGACCUUGAAACUAAUAUCAGACAAUUACAAUCCCUGUAUCCAAAUUCUGGAACUGAGAUGAUGCGAGGCUUGUUUCAUGCACAAGGACUGGUGGUUCCACGGCGUAAGGUCCGUGAGAUGAUGGCUCGAAUCAACGCCAUGGCGACUGCAAGGAGGUGGAGCAGCACAGUGACUAUCAUGUCCCGUAUCCCAACAGUUUAUGGCAUAUUGAUGGCAACAUGCGUCUCAUAAGGUGGGGCUUUGUGGUCCAUGGUGGCAUCGAUGGAUGUUCUCGCUUAAUUACUUGAACUGUAGCACAGACAAUCGCGCCUCAACAGUGCUAUUUCAUUUUCUCAAGGCAACAGGCCUCUAUGGCUUACCUUCUAGAGUGAGGUCAGAUCAUGGUGGCGAGAAUGUGCAAGUGGCACUGGUGAUGAACCUCCUACAGGUCACUGAACGUCGGAGUCAUAUCACUGGGAAUCCAUCCAUAAUCAGAGAAUAGAGCGUCUUUGGAGGGAUGUGUUUUUACAUGUUCUGGAACCAUUUUACAGCAUGUUUUAUCAUCUUUAAGAUUCAGCCCUCUUGGAUCCCAGCGACGAUGUGCACAAACUUUCUCUUCAUAGUUUUUCUUCCUGAGAUUCAAAGCCGACUAGAACAAUUCAGGAAAGCAUGGAACCACCAUUCCCUGCGUACAGAAAACAACAAAACACCAACACAAAUCUGGACUGAACGGAUGUUGGCAAACAUGGGUGCCAACAGCACAGCAACUAACAACGUGUUUGGUGAAAAUUCCAGCGCACCAGAGACUUGAAGAACUUCUGCAACAUCAUGGCCUUUGGCCACUACCAACCACUGAUGCUGAGCAGGUCCCUAGUGUAGUUGUAGAACCACCUUAAACCAGGCUCAGUCAGCAGCAACUUCAAUCAGUUAAUCAUGCAGUCAAUCAUAUUUCUUAUCUGAUGCCAAAAUACCAGGCCUGUUGUGCAGAAAUUGCAAAUGCUUUAUUGAUUUAAAUACAUGUCACUAUGUUUGAGAAGGAGUGACAAACAUCAAGAACAAAUACAUUGUAUCAAAUACAUUCGUCUUAAGAUACAAGUACUACAAAUAAAACUUGGAAUUAACGUGAGUAGGUAACCUUACAGAUGUAAUUAUAAAAUGUUAAGGUGUUUAAAGACAUGACAUAUUAAAUAUACAUUCUGCAGGAAAAAUAAAAAUUCUACUUUUGAAAAUGUUCAUGUAUAAAUGACUAGUGUCUCCCAACCCCAUUUUCAAAUGCAUCUUUUGGACCCUUUGACCUUCAUUAGAAUUUGAUUUUGUUGUUUUUAAUCCAAAUGAGCAGUGUUCAUUGCAUGAACUAGAACAACCAUUACAAAAGAUUAAACUACAAUGCCCAUUUACACAGC